rnacentral:rRNA from 1 species
GAUGAACGCUGGCGGCGUGCCUAAUACAUGCAAGUCGAGCGGCAGCGCGAAUAGUUUACUAUUUGGCGGCGAGCGGCGGACGGCUGAGUAACACGUAGGAACAUACCCCAAAGUGAGGGAUAACUGCUCGAAAGAGUAGCUAAUACCGCAUGUGGUCUAAGGAUUAAAGCUUCGGCGCUUUGGGAAUGGCCUGCGUUCGAUUAGCUAGUUGGUGAGGUAAAAGCUCACCAAGGCGACGAUCGAUAGCUGGUCUGAGAGGAUGAUCAGCCAGACUGGGACUGAGACACGGCCCAGACUCCUACGGGAGGCAGCAGUAGGGAAUUUUCCACAAUGGGCGAAAGCCUGAUGGAGCAACGCCGCGUGCAGGAUGAAUGCCUUCGGGUUGUAAACUGCUUUUGUUAGUGACGAUUAUGACUGUAACUAGCGAAUAAGGAUCGGCUAACUCCGUGCCAGCAGCCGCCGUAAUAC